rnacentral:rRNA from 1 species
AUUGAACGCUGGCGGCAUGCCUUACACAUGCAAGUCGAACGGCAGCACGGGUGCUUGCACCUGGUGGCGAGUGGCGAACGGGUGAGUAAUACAUCGGAACGUACCUUAUCGUGGGGGAUAACGCAGCGAAAGUUGCGCUAAUACCGCAUACGCCCUGAGGGGGAAAGCGGGGGACCGUAAGGCCUCGCGCGAUUAGAGCGGCCGAUGUCUGAUUAGCUUGUUGGUGAGGUAAAAGCUCACCAAGGCGAUGAUCAGUAGCUGGUCUGAGAGGAGGAUCAGCCAAACUGGGACUGAGACACGGCCCAGACUCCUACGGGAGGAAGCAGUUGGGAAUUUUGGACAAUGGGGGCAACCCUGAUCCAGCAAUGCCGCGUGAGUGAAGAAGGCCUUCGGGUUGUAAAGCUCUUUUGUCAGGGAAGAAACAGCAGCUCUAACACAGUCUGCGAAUGACGGUACCUGAAGAAUAAGCACCGGCUAACUACGUGCCAGCCGCCGCCGUAA